UACGUAGGUGGCAAGCGUUGUCCGGAUUUAUUGGGUUUAAAGGGUGCGUAGGCGGCCCUGUAAGUCAGUGCUGAAAUAUCCCAGCUUAACUGGGAGGGUGGCAUUGAUACUGCGGGGCUAGAGUACAGAUGAGGUAGGCGGAAUUGACGGUGUAGCGGUGAAAUGCUUAGAUAUCGUCAAGAACACCUAUAGCGAAGGCAGCUUACUAGGCUGUAACUGACGCUGAGGCACGAAAAGUGUGGGGGAUCAAACAGG
rnacentral:rRNA from 1 species